GAUGAACGCUAGCGGCAGGCCUAAUACAUGCAAGUCGAACGGUUUGUAGCAAUACAGAUAGUGGCGCACGGGUGCGUAACACGUAACUAACCUGCCCAAGACUGGGGGAUAGCCCGCCGAAAGGCGGAUUAAUACCGCAUAACACUUUUGAGUGGCAUCACUUAAUAGUUAAACCUGAGGGGGUCUUGGAUGGGGUUGCGGGUCAUUAGCUAGUUGGUUAGGUAACGGCUGACCAAGGCGACGAUGACUAGGGGAGCUGAGAGGCUGGUCCCCCACACGGGCACUGAGAUACGGGCCCGACUCCUACGGGAGGCAGCAGUAGGGAAUAUUGGGCAAUGGGCGAGAGCCUGACCCAGCCAUGCCGCGUGCAGGAAGAAGGCUUUCUGAGUCGUAAACUGCUUUUGAUAGGGAAGAAUAACCUGUACGUGUACAGGGAUGACGGUACCUACAGAAUAAGCACCGGCUAACUCCGUGCCAGCAGCCGCGGUAAUACGGAGGGUGCGAGCGUUGUCCGGAUUUAUUGGGUUUAAAGGGUGCGUAGGCGGCCCGUUAAGUCCGGGGUGAAAGCCCGUUGCUCAACAACGGAACUGCCCUGGAUACUGGCGGGCUUGAGACUAGUGGAGGUUG
rnacentral:rRNA from 1 species